rnacentral:rRNA from 1 species
GACGAACGCUGGCGGCGUGCUUAACACAUGCAAGUCGAACGGAAAGGGCCUGCCUUUGUGUUGUGCUCGAGUGGCGAACGGGUGAGUAACACGUGAGUAACCUGCCCCUGACUUUGGGAUAACUUCUGGAAACUGGGGCUAAUACCGGAUACGAGCCCCUGCUGCAUGGUUAGGGUUGGAAAGUUUCGGCGGUUGGGGAUGGACUCGCGGCUUAUCAGCUUGUUGGUGGGGUAGCGGCUUACCAAGGCUUUGACGGGUAGCCGGCCUGAGAGGGUGACCGGCCACACUGGGACUGAGAUACGGCCCAGACUCCUACGGGAGGCAGCAGUGGGGAAUAUUGCACAAUGGGCGGAAGCCUGAUGCAGCAACGCCGCGUGCGGGAUGACGGCCUUCGGGUUGUAAACCGCUUUCGGCUGGGAAGAAGCGUGAGUGACGGUAACGGGUGAAGAAGCACCGGCUAACUACGUG